UACGGAGGGGGCCAGCGUUGUUCGGAAUCAUUGGGCGUAAAGGGCGCGUAGGCGGCCACGCAAGUCGGAUGUGAAAUCCCUCGGCUCAACCGAGGAACUGCAUCCGAAAACUGCGAGGCUCGAGUCCUGGAGAGGGUAGUGGAAUUCCCAGUGUAGCGGUGAAAUGCGUAGAUACUGGGAGGAACACCGGUGGCGAAGGCGGCUACCUGGACAGGUACUGACGCUGAGGCGCGAAAGCGUGGGGAGCAAACAGG
rnacentral:rRNA from 1 species